GAUCAUGGCUCAGGAUGAACGCUAGCUACAGGCUUAACACAUGCAAGUCGGAGGGGCAGCAUGGUCUUAGCUUGCUAAGACUGAUGGCGACCGGCGCACGGGUGAGUAACACGUAUCCAACCUGCCGUCUACUCUUGGACAGCCUUCUGAAAGGAAGAUUAAUACAAGAUGGCAUCAUGAGUUCCGCAUGUUCACAUGAUUAAAGGUAUUCCGGUAGACGAUGGGG
rnacentral:rRNA from 1 species